CAGUCGCCACGGGAAUACGAAGGGUGCAAGCGUUACUCGGAAUUACUGGGCGUAAAGCGUGCGUAGGUGGUGGUUUAAGUCCGUUGUGAAAGCCCUGGGCUCAACCUGGGAAUUGCAGUGGAUACUGGGUCACUAGAGUGUGGUAGAGGAUAGUGGAAUUUCCGGUGUAGCAGUGAAAUGCGUAGAGAUCGGAAGGAACAUCUGUGGCGAAGGCGACUAUCUGGGCCAACACUGACACUGAGGCACGAAAGCGUGGGGAGCAAACAGGAUUAGAUACCCCAGUAGUCCCUGUCUCUUAUAA
rnacentral:rRNA from 1 species